AAUCAGUCGUUAAUUGAUACGAAGUCAUAACGUAAACGUGUUACUUUUAUUUUUAUCCUGUUUGGUCCUACGUUUGUAGGUGGUUACCUGAGGCUAUCCUUCACUGUUACUGUGGACCAGGUCUAAAGUCAGAAUGUUACCGUCGCUGCCGCUAUAUAUCGAAGGCGAGGUCGUUAAAGGUUUCGGCCGAGGAUCCAAAGAACUGGGGUGCCCUACAGCUAACUACUCUCUGGAGGUAGUGAAGCGAAUGCCAAAAAAUGUGAUUCCUGGGGUGUACUACGGUUGGGCACAGGUAGACUCAGGGGCCGUGUACAAGAUGGUCGCCAAUGUAGGCUGGUGCCCUUUUUACCAGAACAAAGAAAUGUCUGUUGAGACGCACUUGAUGCAUGAAUUCGACUCAGAUUUCUACGGGUCGAAUUUGAAAAUCGUCCUCGUCGGCUAUUUAAGGGACGAGUUAAACUUCGAUUCACAGGGUAGCUUGAUCGCUCAAAUCAAUGAAGACAUUCAGAACGCCGAUCAGAAACUAGACCUACCAGAAGCUAAGGAGAUAAAGAAUCAGUAUUUUUAUAAAAAAGCCGACUGAAACUGAAGACAAGCGAAAAUCGAUUAAAACCAAUUUUAAAAUAUCACCCCACACAUGGUGACAAAUACGCGAUGUAUUUACUAUAUGCAGAAAGUUUACACGCCACCGCCACCACCUCGGGAAAAAUAUUUUCAUUGAAGACCGCCAAGACAGAAAAUACUUGUUUACAAAUUAUCGCUUUUCUUUUGUAGUCUGUCUAUUACAUUAGGACGGCAACUAAUUAGUUUCUUUGUAGUUUAAAAUGAUUAAAAUAUUUUUGAAGCCUUGACAGAUUGACUAAAUGUUGGCAUAAAUUAUUAUAUGAAAAAGAACAAAAAGUUAUAAUAAAGCUUUUUCUCACAAGAUGAAUAUUUCGAUUUUCGCUUGUUAGAUUUUACUAAAACCAUGUUAUAGCAAAUUCCUUAUCUUGUGAUAUUUUUUAUAACAACAUUUAUAGAUUAUUAUAAAUUUUA